UACGUAGGGAGCAAGCGUUGUCCGGAAUCAUUGGGCGUAAAGCGCGCGUAGGUGGCCUCGUAAGUCCGUUGUGAAAGUCAAAGGCUCAACCUUUGAACGCCGAUGGAUACUGCCGGGCUAGAGUCCGGAAGAGGCGAGUGGAAUUCCUGGUGUAGCGGUGGAAUGCGCAGAUAUCAGGAGGAACACCAAUAGCGAAGGCAGCUCGCUGGGACGGUACUGACGCUGAGGCGCGAAAGCGUGGGGAGCGAACAGG
rnacentral:rRNA from 1 species